rnacentral:rRNA from 1 species
UUUAUGGAGAGUUUGAUCCUGGCUCAGAGUGAACGCUGGCGGCGUGCCUAAUACAUGCAAGUCGAACGAUGAAGCUUCUAGCUUGCUAGAAGUGGAUUAGUGGCGCACGGGUGAGUAACGCAUAGGUUAUGUGCCUCUUAGUUUGGGAUAGCCAUUGGAAACGAUGAUUAAUACCAGAUACUCCCUACGGGGGAAAGAUUUAUCGCUAAGAGAUCAGCCUAUGUCCUAUCAGCUUGUUGGUAAGGUAAUGGCUUACCAAGGCUAUGACGGGUAUCCGGCCUGAGAGGGUGAACGGACACACUGGAACUGAGACACGGUCCAGACUCCUACGGGAGGCAGCAGUAGGGAAUAUUGCUCAAUGGGGGAAACCCUGAAGCAGCAACGCCGCGUGGAGGAUGAAGGUUUUAGGAUUGUAAACUCCUUUUGUUAGAGAAGAUAAUGACGGUAUCUAACGAAUAAGCACCGGCUAACUCCGUGCCAGCAGCCGCGGUAAUACGGAGGGUGCAAGCGUUACUCGGAAUCACUGGGCGUAAAGAGCGCGUAGGCGGGAUAGUCAGUCAGGUGUGAAAUCCUAUGGCUUAACCAUAGAACUGCAUUUGAAACUACUAUUCUAGAGUGUGGGAGAGGUAGGUGGAAUUCUUGGUGUAGGGGUAAAAUCCGUAGAGAUCAAGAGGAAUACUCAUUGCGAAGGCGACCUGCUGGAACAUUACUGACGCUGAUUGCGCGAAAGCGUGGGGAGCAAACAGGAUUAGAUACCCUGGUAGUCCACGCCCUAAACGAUGGAUGCUAGUUGUUGGAGGGCUUAGUCUCUCCAGUAAUGCAGCUAACGCAUUAAGCAUCCCGCCUGGGGAGUACGGUCGCAAGAUUAAAACUCAAAGGAAUAGACGGGGACCCGCACAAGCGGUGGAGCAUGUGGUUUAAUUCGAAGAUACACGAAGAACCUUACCUAGGCUUGACAUUGAGAGAAUCCGCUAGAAAUAGUGGAGUGUCUGGCUUGCCAGACCUUGAAAACAGGUGCUGCACGGCUGUCGUCAGCUCGUGUCGUGAGAUGUUGGGUUAAGUCCCGCAACGAGCGCAACCCCCUUUCUUAGUUGCUAACAGGUCAUGCUGAGAACUCUAAGGAUACUGCCUCCGUAAGGAGGAGGAAGGUGGGGACGACGUCAAGUCAUCAUGGCCCUUACGCCUAGGGCUACACACGUGCUACAAUGGGGUGCACAAAGAGAAGCAAUACUGCGAAGUGGAGCCAAUCUUCAAAACGCCUCUCAGUUCGGAUUGUAGGCUGCAACUCGCCUGCAUGAAGCUGGAAUCGCUAGUAAUCGCAAAUCAGCCAUGUUGCGGUGAAUACGUUCCCGGGUCUUGUACUCACCGCCCGUCACACCAUGGGAGUUGUGUUUGCCUUAAGUCAGGAUGCUAAACUAGCUACUGCCCACGGCACACACAGCGACUGGGGUGAAGUCGUAACAAGGUAACCGUAGGUGAACCUGCGGUUGGAUCACCUCCUUUCUAGA